rnacentral:rRNA from 1 species
GCGCGAAAACUUUGCAAUGCGGGAAACCGUGACAAGGGAACUCUGAGUGCCCGUUAAAUCGGGCUGUCCAUCGGUUUAAAUAACCGGUGAAAAAGGGCCGGGCAAGACCGGUGCCAGCCGCCGCGGUAAUACCGGCGGCUCGAGUGGUGGCCACUAUUACUGGGCUUAAAGCGUUCGUAGCUGGUUUGUUAAGUCUCUGGGGAAAUCUUCCGGCUUAACCGGAAGGCGUUUCAGGGAUACUGGCAGACUAGGGACCGGGAGAGGUGAGAGGUACUCCAGGGGUAGGAGUGAAAUCCUGUAAUCCUUGGGGGACCACCUGUGGCGAAGGCGUCUCACCAGAACGGCUCCGACAGUGAGGGACGAAAGCUGGGGGAGCAAACCGGAUUAGAAACCCUAGUA